AGUGAACGCUGGCGGUAGGCCUAACACAUGCAAGUCGAACGGCAGCACAGUAAGAGCUUGCUCUUACGGGUGGCGAGUGGCGGACGGGUGAGGAAUACAUCGGAAUCUACUUUUUCGUGGGGGAUAACGUAGGGAAACUUACGCUAAUACCGCAUACGACCUACGGGUGAAAGCAGGGGAUCUUCGGACCUUGCGCGAUUGAUUGAGCCGAUGUCGGAUUAGCUAGUUGGCGGGGUAAAGGCCCACCAAGGCGACGAUCCGUAGCUGGUCUGAGAGGAUGAUCAGCCACACUGGAGCUGAGACACGGUCCAGACUCCUACGGGAGGCAGCAGUGGGGAAUAUUGGACAAUGGGCGCAAGCCUGAUCCAGCCAUACCGCGUGGGUGAAGAAGGCCUUCGGGUUGUAAAGCCCUUUUGUUGGGAAAGAAAAGCAGCAGGUUAAUACCCCGCUGUUCUGACGGUACCCAAAGAAUAAGCACCGGCUAACUUCGUG
rnacentral:rRNA from 1 species